UACGGAGGAUCCAAGCGUUAUCCGGAUUUAUUGGGUUUAAAGGGUGCGUAGGCGGCCUAUUAAGUCAGGGGGUGAAAGACGGUGGCUCAACCAUCGCAGUGCCUUUGAUACUGAUAGGCUUGAUUACACUAGAGGUAGGCGGAAUGUGACAAGUAGCGGUGAAAUGCAUAGAUAUGUCACAGAACACCCAAAUUUGCGAAGGCAGCUUACUAUGGUGUCA
rnacentral:rRNA from 1 species